UACGUAGGUGGCAAGCGUUGUCCGGAAUUAUUGGGCGUAAAGCGCGCGCAGGCGGCCUUUUAAGUCUGAUGUGAAAGCCCACGGCUCAACCGUGGAAGGUCAUUGGAAACUGAAAGGCUUGAGUACAGAAGAGGAAAGCGGAAUUCCACGUGUAGCGGUGAAAUGCGUAGAGAUGUGGAGGAACACCAGUGGCGAAGGCGGCUUCUGGUCUGUAACUGACGCUGAGGCGCGAAAGCGUGGGGAGCGAACCGG
rnacentral:rRNA from 1 species